GGAAGGAUCAUUGAAUCAGCGACAACAAACAACGUGAACUAAAGCUAGCCGGGUCCGUCGGCCCUAACAGGCCAUAGCCGGCCCUCGCCGGCCCUCACCGGCCCUCACCGGCCGUGUGUGGGUAGGGCGGCGAAAAACAACACCAAACCUAAACCACUAAAGCUAAGAUGUGCAGCAGGCCUGGCCUCUGCAUCCAUAACUGAGACAACUCUCAACAACGGAUAUCUUGGCUCUCGCAACGAUGAAGAACGCAGCGAAAUGCGAUACGUAGUGUGAAUUGCAGAAUUCCGUGAAUCAUCGAAUCUUUGAACGCAUAUUGCGCUCGAGGCCUCGGCUAAGAGCAUGUCUGCCUCAGCGUCGGGUUAAUAUCAUACCAACCAUACCGUCCGUGUAUGGCUCUCUGGUAUGGACCUGGCUGUUCCAGUGGCUUGACCUGGGUGUGCGUGGGCAAACCUGUAACAGGGGUUGCUACCUAUGCCUGGUCAGUAUCACAGUCGCUGGAUCAGCUGAAGCGCAGAGGCUGAUCAGGGACCCGCUAAGGGCCGCAACUGGGUAGGCAUUUACCGAUGCUACAUCUAGUUGUUGGUCUGGGACUUUGUGUUGGCCCUCCAACAGGAACCUAUUAACCCGUUAUUAUCUCGACCUGAGCUCAGGCAAGAACACCCGCUGAACUUAAGCAUAUCAAUAAGCGGAGGAAAAGAAACUAACAAGGAUUCCCCUAGUAACGGCGAGUGAAACGGGAAUAGCCCAACUUGAAAAUCUCCCUUUGGAGAAUUGUAGUCUAUAGAAGCGCCCUCUGUGGCGGCCGGAGCCCAAGUCUGUUGGAAAACAGCGUCAGAGAGGGUGAGAACCCCGUCGGCUCUCGGCUUAGCUACUCCACGAGGUGCUUUCCACGAGUCGGGUUGUUUGGGAAUGCAGCCCAAAAUGGGAGGUAAAUCCCUUCUAAGGCUAAAUAUUGGCGAGAGACCGAUAGCGAACAAGUACCGUGAGGGAAAGAUGAAAAGAACUUUGAAAAGAGAGUUAAAAAGUGCUUGAAAUUGUUGAGAGGGAAGCGAUUGGAGGGUGUGGGUGCGCUCAGGCUUAUGCGUCUCUAACGAGCCGCUGUAUGUGCUGAGCGCUGGUCAGCAUGGGUUAGCCGGGCGGGAUAACAGCAGGGAUUGAUACCCUGUCUAUGCCGCCUGGCUGACCAAGGUGUGAAUGGCGCUCUGUCCCUCGGGAACUGCGUCAUCAAGAUGCUGGCAGAAGCCCUUCAAUCGGCCCGUCUUGAAACACGGACCAAGGAGUCUAACAUGUAUGCGAGUUGGUGGGUGGAAAACCCAUGAAGCGCAAGUAACCUGACUGGUGGGAUGGCCUGUGCCUGCACCAUCGACCGACCAUGAUCUUCUGUGAAAGGUUUGAGUGCGAGCAUACCUGUUGGGACCCGAAAGAUGGUGAACUAUGCCUGAGCAGGGUGAAGCCAGAGGAAACUCUGGUGGAGGCUCGUAGAUGUGCUGACGUGCAAAUCGCUUUUCGGACUUGGGUAUAGGGGCGAAAGACUAAUCGAACCAUCUAGUAGCUGGUUUCCUC
rnacentral:misc_RNA from 1 species